rnacentral:rRNA from 1 species
GCAAGUCGAACGGAAAGGCCCCGCUCGCGGGGUGCUCGAGUGGCGAACGGGUGAGUAACACGUGGGUGAUCUGCCCUGCACUUUGGGAUAAGCCUGGGAAACUGGGUCUAAUACCGGAUAGGACCAUCGUUUAGUGUCGGUGGUGGAAAGUUUUUUCGGUGUGGGAUGAGCUCGCGGCCUAUCAGCUUGUUGGUGGGGUAAAGCCUACCGUGGCGACGAUGGGUAGCCGGCCUGAGAGGGUGUUC